rnacentral:rRNA from 1 species
UACGGAGGGUGCAAGCGUUAUCCGGAUUCACUGGGUUUAAAGGGUGCGUAGGUGGGUUGAUAAGUCAGUGGUGAAAUCCCCGAGCUUAACUGGGGAAGUGCCUUGGAUACUGGUGACCUCGAGGAGGGUAGGGGCAUCUGGAACGUUGGGUGGAGCGGUGAAAUGCGUUGAUAUCCAACGGAACUCCGGUGGCGAAAGCGAGGUGCUGGACCCUUUCUGACGCUGAGGCGCGAAAGCCAGGGGAGCAAACGGG